UAACGAAUCUUCCGCAAUGGGCGAAAGCCUGACGGAGCAAUGCCGCGUGUGGGAUGAAGCGCCUUCGGCGUGUAAACCACUGUCAGGGAAUGGAACCAAUGAUUAUUCCCAAAGGAAGUGGCGACUAACUCUGUGCCAGCAGUCGCGGUAAUACAGAGGCCACAAGCGUUAGUCGGAAUCACUGGGCUUAAAGCGAACGUAGGUGGUUAUGUGUGUCUAGUGUGAAAGCCCACGGCUCAACCGUGGAAGUGCGCUAGAAACUGCAUAACUGGAGUGUAGGAGAGGAUAGUAGAAUUCUCAGUGUAGAGGUGAAAUUCGUAGAUACUGGGAGGAACACCGGUGGCGAAGGCGACUAUCUGGACUAUAACUGACACUGAUGUUCGAAAGCGUGGGUAGCAAACAGGAUUAGAUACCCCAGUAGUCCCUGAGCGGGCUGGCAAGGCGCAU
rnacentral:rRNA from 1 species